CCUCACUCAUGUUCAGAGAGGCCGCCCACCCAAGAAAUCUAGUCUCUCCUGGGGCAGGUCAUGGUAGCCGUUCCCGAGCUGUCACUUUGGAGUCUCCUCCAAAAUGGUCGAGGAAUUUUGGUCCCUUUGCUUAUUCAUUCUCCUAACAUUCAGAUGGUGGCUUUGGCAAGAGCCUCUUUGACCACGCAAGUUCCCAGCAUGGUCACUUGAUUGGAGGCACACUGUCUGAAAUAAUCUUUAGUGAUCCCGUUUCCCGCCCAGUCUUUGUUUUGUGAGAGGUAGAAAGUUAUAUUUUUUUGCCCAGAGCUCAGCUAUCUGAUACGGGAGGGAGAUCAAUCAAUGAGAACUGCUUCGUGUUUACCAUCAGUGUUCUCUUCCAGUCCCUCCACCUUCUCAGCACCCCCCUCUUUUGUUGCACUUGAUCAAGUACACGUUUCAUCUUCAAAAUAAAAAUUUAUUCAAUCUGUAACAAGAACAUUGAAUCUGCACAUUUGCGCACAAGUUCACAUUUAAAAACAGCGGAGCACAUCAGUAAUAAAAAAAUCUAUGAUACAAGUGGAACAUCCCAACCACCAGGAAGAUUAAGGAAGGAGAUGAGACCACUCUUUAUAUUCUGCUUCAAAUGCCUCAAAAAGGUCCCAGAGAUUCCAGGGAGCACCUGCUUUAUUUAAUAAAAUGUGAGCAUAAAAGUCUAGGGUGGCCUGGGGCAAAGGUAACAGUCAGUGGGAGAGUCCUUUGGACUUGUUUUCUACAUUUAGAACAAGUCCUACAAAAUAAAGUAGAAAGAAAAAAAAGGCACCUUAAGCUAUGCCAAGCAAACCAAAUUCCAAUAAAACACAAAAACCAAACAAUUCCCUGUGGACUUAUUGAUUGGGAAACAUUUCGGGGUCAGUUACCCAGCCUUCGGACUGGGUCAUCAGCUGGAGUUAGGCCCUGGGAAUUAGCUCUCCGUGUGCAGACAGGAUGCUGAUGAGGGAUGAUUCCAGUUUAGAAAUCCUGUCCCAGAUCUCUGGGGCACUGAGAAAAUGAGGCUGGUUCUCUUUUCAUAGCAGGAGCCAGGCCCAGUCACCCUCCACUUC
rnacentral:lncRNA from 1 species